CAGGUUGUUUUGUUCUUUCUCUCCAGCUGAGAACUCAGGGAAAGAAUGUCAUUUAAUUUCUUUUCGACCUCAGGGAAAUUCUUGGUGACUCUGUCCGCUAUGUUAUAGACGUCCCAGGGAUGUGUCCUGUGCUUUCAGUGCAAACACGCACACGAAAUCCCUUUGAAAAUGGGCCAUAAGAAUAUAUACCAAAGAGGGACACCUGGUUGACUCAGUUGGCUAAGCGUCUGCCUUCGGCUCAGACUAUUACGAUGCCCUCAUGGAAGAUGGAAUGCCUGGCUAUCAGAAACAAAUAUUCAAGCUUUGUUGGUCUCUGCAGAACUUCUAGGAAAGCGGAGUAGAGAGGACCCCUUGGUACCACCUGCUUUUUGUGAAGGAUGGAAUGGCCCAUCCUCUGACAUUGCAUUCCCUCUCUCCGUGAGCAAGUUUUAAUCAGGGUGGCGCGUGGUGCACGCUGAUCGAUUGGGAUGCCCCGGCUGUGCCCUCAGGAUGACCGAGUGGGAGACAGCUGGACCUGCAGUGGUGGAGACCCCUGACAUCAAGCUCUUUGGGAAAUGGAGCACUGAUGAUGUUCAGAUCAAUGACAUUUCCUUGCAGGAUUACAUUGCAGUGAAGGAGAAGUAUGCCAAGUACCUGCCCCACAGUGCAAGGUGAUAUGCAGCUAAGCGCUUCCGUAAGGCACAGUGCCCCAUUGUCGAGCGUCUCACCAACUCAAUGAUGAUGCAUGGCCGUAACAAUGGCAAGAAGCUCAUGACCGUGCGCAUUGUCAAGCAUGCCUUCGAGAUCUCCCAUCUGCUCCCUGGUGAGAACCCCCUGCAGGUCCUGGUGAAUGCAAUUAUUAACAGCGGUCCCCGGGAGGACUCAACCCGCAUUGGACGAGCCGGAACAGUGAGGCGUCAGGCUGUUGACAUGUCCGCCCUGCUCUGUGUGAAUCAGGCCAUCUAGCUGCUGUGCACAGGUGCCCGUGAGGCUGCCUUCCAGAACAUCAAGACCAUUGCUGACUGCCUAGCAGAUGAGCUCAUCAAUGCAGCCAAUUCUGUGUGGCAUAUUGAUUUGGGCAAAUAUGUUUACACAUGAAACCUCUUCUUUUGGUGCUCUUCCAGUUCCUAGGCUAUCAAGAAGAAGGACGAGCUGGAACGUGUGGCCAAGUCCAAUCGCUGAUCACCUGGCUGUGACCUCAAUGAACCUGUCUGCCUUUAGGGCAGCCUUAAAAAAAGAAAAAAAAAAAAAGACUGUGUUUAGCUUUGGUAAGACACUGCCAAACUGUCUUCUAAAGUGGCUCUAAGAAGCAGUAUUUUGAAACUAUUUUUGGAAGGAGCAAAAAGGCAUAUAUAUAUAUAUAUGCCUUUUUUAAAAAGUAAGCUCGGGGCGCCUGAGUGGCUCAGUCGUUAAGCGUCUGCCUUCGGCUCUGGUCAUGAUCCCAGGGUCCUGGGAUCGAGCCCCGCAUCGGGCUCCCUGCUUGGCAGGGAGUCUGCUUCUCCCUCUCCCACUCCCCCUGCUUGUGUUCCCUCUCUUGCUGUGUCUCUCUCUGUCAAAUAAAUAAAUAAAAUCUUUAAAAAAAAAAAA